UGACUUCCAUGUGGAGAUCAGUUGAAAAUGGAGAGAUUAACACAUUGGAAGCAUUCGUGAAAGCUGCAUGUAAACUUUGGCAGGAUAAUCCACCGUUAGAGCCUAACAAUGAAGGUCCACCGUUAGAGCCUAACAAUGAAGGUCCACCCUUAGAGCCUAACAAUGGACCUUGUCCACCAUUACAGCUUAACAAUGAAGGUCCACCCUUAGAGCCUAACAAUGAAGAUCCACCAUUAGAGCCUAAUAAUGAAGGUCCACCGUUACACCCUAACAAUGAAGGUCCACCGUUAGAGCCUAACGAUGAAGGUCCACCACCCUUAGAGCCUAACAAUUCUUGUUUCUUGUAGUACUUGCUAUAUAAUUCUUGUCACAGGACUGAUUAGGCGUUGUUGAGGUCGACCGGGUCAAGCAGCUGCUCGCCAUGGCGUGUUCUGCCGAGGAACGCAGCAUGGGACAGCAACAGCCACAGGUGCGUCGUGAGCUCCCCGCGCCCCUGGAGGUAGAUCUUAUGCUUGGCCGACCUCGUCGACGCCGACAGGUGCAGCAGGAACCCCGCCCAGAACUUUGCCAGCCGCUCCCAGAGCUCGGCCGCCGCCUUGCCGGCGUACGCCGACAUGAGCUUCCCCGACAGCCGCUCAAAGAGCUCGGCCGCCCUGCCGGCGUAUGCUGACAUGAGCUUCUCCGACAGCCGCGCGCCCAUCCCGGCGAUCAUCGUGCUCGUGCUUCCGUCGCGCGCGAGGGAGCUGAGCCUCUCGGGGAUCUCCCUCACGGCUGUGCACCCGACCAAGGCGUCGCGGACCUCGUCGCCGACAGCGCCCAAUAAGUCCAGUAGCUGGGGUAGAAAAAUCCUUCACCCUGUCUGUUUUCUUCUUUUCUUUUCCUUUUUUUGAGGCCAUGUUUACUUCCCUCCAAACUCCCAACUUUAACACUAUGCAAAAAGAAGAUUCCCCAUCACAUCAAACUUGCGGUACAUGUAUGGAGUACUAAAUGUAGACGAAAUCAAAAACUAAUUGCACAGUUUUGUUGUACUUUGCGAGACGAAUCAUUUGAGCCUAAUUAGUCAAUAUUUGGACAAUAAUUCACAAAUACAAACGAAACGCUACAGUUGCGCAUUUAUGGCAAAAUGCCAAUUUUGCCACUCCCAAAUUGGGAACUAAACAAGGCCUGAGAAGCACAAUGGCUUGGAUUAUUAUAAAAGUACUUUUACAUCCAGCCCCUUGCAAAAGGACCUCUGAAAGAAAUUAAAAUUACAUUGAAGUCCUUUGGAGGUCCUCCUGUUUUCUGGAAAUUGGGAAUUUGCACUGCUCUUACUCGGGUCAAGCCUGAGCUAUCAGACCAACACCUGUAGUACCAGCAUACCACAGGCCACAUAAGGUAGUAACCAUGUGAAUGUGAACCUGUAGUACCAGCAUACCGAGGAUAGUAAAAUCGCAGUGUACUCUUUGUCCCGGCCCAUCUGAACCUGUAAUAUGGCACACUGCCUACAGUGUGCCCUCGAGGUAGGUACUAGGCUACUAGCAGCGCGUAUCGUCUUAGUAGACGUAGUUCUUGACGAACAUUCCCUCCUUGGCCUCGGCGGCCUCGCCGUCGGAGGUGUACUUGCCGAGCUGCGCCAGGGAGUUGGCCUUGGCGCGGAGCAGCAGAGCAUCCUGAGCCGCCUUCACGUUCUCUGGCCGGCCGCCCCAUGUCUUGAGGCAGGUGUUCUGAAGAGCCCUGGCGUAGGAGAAGGACACAUGCCACGGGUUGGGGCUCUGGUUCAUGGCGUUCAGGUUCUGGGUCGCCUCAACCUCAGACUGCCCACCAGACAGGAACUGCAUUUUUGUUUGGGUGCAACAGCAAAACAAUUUCAGUCGUCAGAACACCAUAUGAAUUUCUUGGCAAGUAUAUGCAUAUGCAGCAAGAGGAAAAAAUGUUACAGACCAUGAUGCCGGGGACGGCAGGAGGGAUCCUUCUGCGGAGGAGCUUGAGGGUGUAGUCGGCAACUUGCUGAGGGGUGGCCCUGUCCUUGCACUCAGCACCAGGGGUGACCAUGCUGGGCUUGAGGAGGAUGCCCUCGAAUAUCACAUUGUUCUCAGCCAGGUAGUAGAAGGUCUCGGCCCACACCUUCUGUGCAACCUCGAAGGUCCUCUCGAUGCCGUGCUCACCGUCAAGAAGGAUUUCAGGCUCCACAAUUGGCACCAGGCCGUUGUCCUAGCGUAUCCACAGAUAGUAUAUGUUUAUACACAUGCAUGUCGAAAGGAAACCAAUGGUCCUUUUUCAACUGGUGAGCGUUUCUGGCUUUUGAAAAUGGUAGGAUACCUGAGAAAUCGCGGCAUAGCGGGCAAGGCCCCAGGCAGCUUCCUUCACGGCAAGUUCAGAUGGACCGUUGGGGAUGCUGAUAACAGUGCGCCUGUGACAGAACUUCAUGUCAUAAACGGGACCUAUAUGUCACAUAACAGAAAGUAACUGCUAAUGCAGGGGCACAUUUCUCACCACUUGGCGAAGCGGGCACCAGCCUGGUAGUAGGCUGCUUCGCGUGAAGCAAGGCCAUCAAGACCUUGGCACCAUGACUCGUUGUUGGAACCAGCAAGUGGCACAAGACCCUGAGAUUGAGCAUAAGUUUAGAGUAAUGCAAUUGUCUUCUGUCUUGAAAUAGAUUAUCACGAAACCUAGCUUCCUAAGGCUCUUAUCAGAGUUGAAUUCACAAAAUGUCAUGUGGUAGUUUAGAGCCCUCCACAUACCUUGUCGACCUUGAUACCGGGCACGAUAUUCUGCUCAACAAGGACGUCAGUAAUCUUCUUGCCAUCAACAGUUGACUGGUAGAGGGUCUCCUCGAAGAGGAUAGCACCAGAGAUGUACUGUCCCAGUCCCGGAGCACUGACAAGGAGGGUCCUGUAAGCCUGGCGGUUGGCCUCAGUGUUCUCUAGGCCAAUGGAGUCAAGCCUCUUGCCGCAGGUAGCGUUUGACUCAUCCAUGGCAAGGAUACCCCUUCCUGGAGAUGCGAUGGUUUUCUGCAGCAAGAAGAAUAAAGCUUGUAAUAUUCUGAAUCGUAAUUGAACCGAUCAUCUAAACUUCCCUUGUUCAAUAGAAAAGAAAUUACUUUUCUAAGCUGAUGAAAUGUGCUUUAAAAAGUUCGAGACCGUAGCAACUUGUACAGAUUAUGAAUUUUUCAGAUGUAUCGCCGAACAAAAGCAGGACCUUUCAAAUUAUCUAAAAUGCAAUCGAAAUAGCUUUGAGUCAGUCAAAAUUCUGUGUGGCAUACUGCUUCUUAGCCUAUAAUUAUAGCUACUGGUGUUGACCUGUGUCAUGUCAUGAUGCAGAGAUGUCUAAUUUACAAAUUCAUCUCUGCUAUGUUGUGAGUUUCCCAAGUUCUUUUUGGUUAGGUGAUCACUUUUUUCUUUUGCUUCUGAAGAUGUAAAACAGGGUGGAAAUUUUCCUAAACCGAUGCUAUAUAAACUAUGCAGUGUGAAAAUGUAGAUUUAGACUAGUGUAUAUGCAUAAUCAAGUAAUCUUGGGAUCAAAACAGCCAAUGGGUUAACUUUUCUAAUGAAUCCUCAAGUUGCAGUAAUUGAAUUAUGCUAAGCAAAACUUUAGGGCGAUUGCUCACCCAAGGAUCUAUAUGUGAAGUUACUGACACUACAUCAUUUUCUACUUAUGCAGACAAGCUUCUGCAAGUUAAUAAAAACCAUAAAACUAGCAUACAUGCAUGGUAAAUGGUGCAGAAUUAUACUUCUUGUGUUCAGAAAUCAUACUGCAGUUUGGACAAGCUCAUCAGCGUAGGCGCUAGCACGGACAACCAUGGAGACGGUCACCGGCUUGGGAGCGGCAGCCUGGCGCGUGGUGCCCCAUUCGGCCGUCUUUGGAAGGAAAGACGACUUGAGGAGAGUAGCAGAUAACGCCAUUGCUUCUGGUCCUGAACACAAGGAGACAAGCACUAUCCUUUCCUUGACACACAAUCUUUCCUUAGGGGCUUGAGAAGUGUUGCACCGGCUGGCAUAUAAGGUUGCGCAACUGGAGGCACACAAGGACAAGAGAUAUGAAUUGUGAGGUGGAGGCUAGCCUUCUGGAUUCCUGCAAUCCUCUUGCCACCCUCUCUUUUGUCCUGGCUCUGGCAGAUACUUUAUUUCUCCUCUCUUUUCUGUGUACCAUGUAAAACUGGCAAAAGAAACAUUUUCCUCUUUGUGCAACGUGGUCCGUUGAAUAUUGUCUGCGCAUUCUUGGCCUUAAGAUGGAUCCUGGCUUCUGGGUUUCUAUGGGUGGAUUUCACCAAGAACUGUAGCCCAUACGUGUCUUCCAACGGCGGAGAUGCCCUGAUAUACUGCAUCCAUGAAAUUGUCCCGUUGCCAGUUAUUCCCGAAAAAACACAAGAUUUUACAGCCAGUAUUUUGGUGAUAACAACGUCCAGCCGUCCGUUGUUUGCUGCAUGCAGGGUUCCUUCUUUAACACACAUCAACCUCCAGCCGUCCGUUGUUUGUUGCAUGCAGGGUUCCUUCUUUGACACACAUCCUUGCUCCUGAGAAUAUGCUGCUGCUUCUUGAGUCCAGUUGCAGGCUUGCAGCGGACAUCCACCACUAAUUUGAACAACUCCCUGCCAAAGAUGCCACCAACAGGAUUCCAACCAUACAGCAGCAUAUUCCCCCCUCAUGGCCUUACAAAGUGCUCUGACAUUACCUAAUGACAUACCGUAAAAAUUAACAGACCAACUGGGAGAAGAAAGAAGGUACAAAUAUCAUAUCUUGCAUAGUAAAAAUAGUUCUGAAAUACUGAAGGGCAAAAAGGAAGAAAAUGAAAUUCUGCCUCUUGCAAUAAACUUUGGUACCAGGGAGCAAAUUGGCUUCAUAGCACCUAAAGAUCUCAAUGAAAAGGAAAGAAACAAAGUACGAUGAAAAUGAAAGGGAUCUUGCAAUUGAAUCACAAAAGCUGGACAGCUACAGAAUGUUUGCAAGCACAUAAAUGUAUAUGAAAAGGAUUUCAGACUGCAUAAAACUAAAUUGGAUGGACUGCUGUAACUAUCAGACUUUGGAGAAAUACGUGCAUACAAACGCAAACGGCCAGUGCGUAUACAAACAUUUUGUCAUUUUGUAGGGGGGAGAUAUAAUACUAAUACAAACAAAAAGUUCCACUAUCACCAAGAUGCUGUGCAUGGUGUUUUCUAACACAUGCAAACCUUGGAUCUGGACACAUCACUGGAAGCAUCUGUUAUACUGUCUAUUACAGAUGAUGGUAAAUUCUGUACAAAGAAUCAUUUUCCUACUGUACUCCAAUUGAUCAUGUCUGGGACUAAUGUGAAUAAUGUCACAAGGAGCAAAAAUUGCAUCUUUGAAAUGAUCCAAUCAUCCUGCCAAUGACCAUAAAAUCAGUGAUAUAAUCUGUUCACGUACAUGAUAAGUAUAACUUUGGCAUCGGUCAGCAAAUUCAUGCCAAAGACGGUGGGAAUACUACCAACAGUUAAAUGCGGAUGAGGUUGGCUUCUGAUUUAGUCAAACAUAGUGUCAAACUUAGUUUGAUGUGUCUCUGUAGAUGUAAAUCAGGAACCAACAUGCCAGCUAUAGUGCCAGCCAUUGAUGAAUGACUGCAUACUCCUACUCCACAUCCCUUAUUCACUUCUUUCUUCUCAUUGUGAAACUCAGACUCUCAGAGCACAUUGAGAUUCCUCUUCACGUGUGUUGCUAAAGCUCAGCAACUGCUGAAUUGGUGCAGUGUUCGUUCCUGAGACAGAAGACUGACAUGACAAAACCAUUGAUUAAUAGGUCUAGCUUGAGCAA
rnacentral:lncRNA from 1 species